AGAGUUUGAUCCUGGCUCAGGACGAACGCUGGCGGCGCGCCUAACACAUGCAAGUCGAACGAGAGAUGAGGAGCUUGCUCUUCAGAUCGAGUGGCGAACGGGUGAGUAACGCGUGAGGAACCUGCCUCAAAGAGGGGGACAACAGUUGGAAACGACUGCUAAUACCGCAUAAGCCCACGGCUCGGCAUCGAGCAGAGGGAAAAGGAGCAAUCCGCUUUGAGAUGGCCUCGCGUCCGAUUAGCUAGUUGGUGAGGUAACGGCCCACCAAGGCGACGAUCGGUAGCCGGACUGAGAGGUUGAACGGCCACAUUGGGACUGAGACACGGCCCAGACUCCUACGGGAGGCAGCAGUGGGGAAUAUUGCACAAUGGGGGAAACCCUGAUGCAGCGACGCCGCGUGGAGGAAGAAGGUCUUCGGAUUGUAAACUCCUGUUGUUGAGGAAGAUAAUGACGGUACUCAACAAGGAAGUGACGGCUAACUACGUGCCAGCAGCCGCGGUAAAACGUAGGUCACAAGCGUUGUCCGGAAUUACUGGGUGUAAAGGGAGCGCAGGCGGGAGAACAAGUUGGAAGUGAAAUCCAUGGGCUCAACCCAUGAACUGCUUUCAAAACUGUUUUUCUUGAGUAGUGCAGAGGUAGGCGGAAUUCCCGGUGUAGCGGUGGAAUGCGUAGAUAUCGGGAGGAACACCAGUGGCGAAGGCGGCCUACUGGGCACCAACUGACGCUGAGGCUCGAAAGUGUGGGUAGCAAACAGGAUUAGAUACCCUGGUAGUCCACACCGUAAACGAUGAUUACUAGGUGUUGGAGGAUUGACCCCUUCAGUGCCGCAGUUAACACAAUAAGUAAUCCACCUGGGGAGUACGACCGCAAGGUUGAAACUCAAAGGAAUUGACGGGGGCCCGCACAAGCAGUGGAGUAUGUGGUUUAA
rnacentral:rRNA from 1 species